CCUUCUCAGACCGUAAUCUGGCCAGGGAGCGGACUGUUUGAAGGUAGAAGCACUAACACUCUUCCGCUUUCCUUUGACUGUGUAUCCCAGAAUGUAUGUGAUAGAUUCUAUUGACUUGUAUUAUACUUUAGCAGGUGACGAAGCAAUACUAGACAGCGUUUUGGAUUACGGGAACGAGAGUGGACUUCUAUCUCUAUCUGAAAUUCAUACAACAGACAGGCCCGAGACACCUCCGACUAACGGUAAGAAGAAGAAGAAAAGAAAAAAAAAAGUAUAAAUUUUAAAUAAAUAAGUAAAAUAAAUCUAAACCCGUCUCUCCAUUUUGUAGAGUGCAAACCAGAACCCGCUCACAAGGUGGACAAGGCUACUUGUACCAGCGAAGACGGUGUCUACCCGCUACUCGUCAUACCCGACACGCCAGAAAAGCAAGGCAGACAACCGGCUAACACUAAAGAAGCUGACACUGACGGAGGACCAUCUGGAUCCAAAAUUAGCAUACCAGAAGCACCAGAGAAAGCAGUGACUGACGACUCCAGGCCAUACCCCAGACUGAAGCAUUCCACUAGAAGAAGCGGCAGGAGGAAUACGAGGAGAUCAGCUUCAGGACGUCGGGGUCUAUCGAGAGGGAAGGUUGUGAAAACUUUUUGGAAAAUACUGACUUCUGUUUGUGAAUUGACCUCAGCGUUGACUAGGUAGAGUCGUGUGUGUUGUAAUGAUGAAUGAUCAAGGGGAAAAUUCGGUCUCGCAGUCAGCUCUGUUAUCUUUACAGUCUUCGGUCUCGCAGUCAGCUCUGUUAUCUUUACAGUCUAUGGUUGAAGUGUUAAGCGAUAUCCCUCACCCGCAAACUUUACCUCCACUGGUUGAAAUACAACAACAAUUAGAGAUUUCAAACGAGCCUCAGGCUCGCCACGAACCUUCGGAUUUACAGAAUUUGGAAAGUAUCGAUGUAGCCCUUCAGCGUUUAAGAGAAGCUCCGUCCAGUCCUCCAUCCCCCGAGCUUUUACCUCCG